rnacentral:misc_RNA from 1 species
GCUUGUCUGCGAGCUGGUGCUCUUAUGGCUGUGCUUUCAUAUCUGGAUUUCUUCUCCACUGGAGUCCAGCGGGUGGCUUUAGCUACUGCUGCAAAUAUGUGCAAGAAACUCUCAUCAGAUGCUGCUGAUUUUGUGAUGGAAGCCGUUCCUCUGUUGACAAAUCUUCUUCACUAUCAUGAUGCAAAGGUAUUGGAGCAUGCUUCUGUUUGUUUAACCCGGAUUGCUGAAGCAUUUGCUUCAUCUCCAGACAAAUUGGAUGAACUAUGUAA